GAUGAACGCUGGCGGCGUGCCUAAUACAUGCAAGUCGAGCGAACAGACGAGGAGCUUGCUCCUCUGACGUUAGCGGCGGACGGGUGAGUAACACGUGGAUAACCUACCUAUAAGACUGGGAUAACUUCGGGAAACCGGAGCUAAUACCGGAUAAUAUAUUGAACCGCAUGGUUCAAUAGUGAAAGACGGUUUUGCUGUCACUGAUAGAUGGAUCCGCGCCGCAUUAGCUAGUUGGUAAGGUAACGGCUUACCAAGGCAACGAUGCGUAGCCGACCUGAGAGGGUGAUCGGCCACACUGGAACUGAGACACGGUCCAGACUCCUACGGGAGGCAGCAGUAGGGAAUCUUCGGCAAUGGGCGAAAGCUUGACGGAGCAACGCCGCGUGAGUGAUGAAGGUCUUCGGAUCGUAAAACUCUGUUAUUAGGGAAGAACAAAUGUGUAAGUAACUAUGCACGUCUUGACGGUACCUAAUCAGAAAGCAACGGCUAACUACGUG
rnacentral:rRNA from 1 species